GACGAACGCUGGCGGCGCGCCUAACACAUGCAAGUCGAACGAGCGAGCGAGAGCUUGCUUUCUUGAGCGAGUGGCGAACGGGUGAGUAACGCGUGAGGAACCUGCCUCAAAGAGGGGGACAACAUUUGGAAACGACUGCUAAUACCGCAUAAGACCACGCCCCGGCGUCGGGGUGAGGGAAAAGGGGCCAUCCGCUUUGAGAUGGCCUCGCGUCCGAUUAGCUAGUUGGUGAGGUAACGGCCCACCAAGGCGACGAUCGGUAGCUGGACUGAGAGGAUGAACGGCCACACUGGGACUGAGACACGGCCCAGACUCCUACGGGAGGCAGCAGUGGGGAAUAUUGCACAAUGGGGGAAACCCUGAUGCAGCGACGCCGCGUGGAGGAAGAAGGUCUUCGGAUUGUAAACUCCUGUUGUUCGGGAAGAUAAUGACGGUACUGAGAAAAGAAGCGACGGCUAACUACGUG
rnacentral:rRNA from 1 species